rnacentral:lncRNA from 1 species
AAAAUAUAUAGUGAAAACAAUAGUGGUCCUAAAACGGAACCUUGAGGAACACCGAAAUUUACAAUUGAUUUGUCAGAGGACAAACCAUUCACAGAGACAAACUGAUAUCUUUCCGACAGAUAAGAUCUAAACCAGGCCAGAACUUGUCCAUGUAGACCAAUUUGGGUUCCAAUCUCUCCAAAAGAAUGUGGUGAUCGAUGGUAUCAAAAGCGACACUAAGAUCUAGGAGCACGAGGACAGAUGCAGAGCCUCGGUCUGACGUCAUUAAAAGGUCAUUUACCACCUUCACAAGUGCGGUCUCAGUGAUAUGAUGGGGUCUAAAACCAGACUGAAGCGUUUCGUAUACAUUGUUUGUCUUCAGGAUGGAAGUGAGUUGCUGUGCAACAGCUUUUUCUAACAUUUUUGAGAGGAAUGGAAGAUUCGAUAUAGGCCGAUAGUUUUUUUAAUAAUUUCUGGAUCAAGAUUCGGCUUUUUCAAGAGAGGCUUUAUUACUGCCACUUUUAGUGAGCUUGGUACACAUCCGGUGGAUAGAGAGCCGUUUAUUAUGUUCAACAUAGGAGGGCCAAGCACAGGAAGCAGCUCUUUCAGUAGUUUAGUUGGAAUAGGGUCCAGUAUGCAGCUUGAGGGUUUGGAGGCCAUGAUUAUUUUCAUCAUUGUGUCAAGAGAUAUAGUACUAAAACACUUUAGUAUCUCCCUUGAUCCUAGGUCCUGGCAGAGUUGUGUAGACUCAGGACAAUGGAGCUUUGGAGGAAUACCCAGAUUUAAAGAGGAGUCUGUAAUUUGCUUUCUAAUGAUCAUGAUAUUUUCCUCAAAGAAGUUCAUAAAUGUAUUACUGCUGAAGUGAAAGCCAUCCUCCAUUUGCGAAGGCUGCUUUUUAGUUAGCUUUGCGACAGUAUCAAAAAGAAAUUUCGGAUUGUUCUUAUUUUCCUCAAUUAAGUUGGAAAAAUAGGAUGAUCGAGCAGCAGUGAGGGCUCUUCGAUACUGCACGGUACUGUCUUUCCAAGCUAGUCGGAAGACUUCCAGUUUGGUGUGGCGCCAUUUCCGUUCCAAUUUUCUGGAAGCUUGCUUCAGAGUUCGUGUAUUUUCUGUAUACCAGGGAGCUAGUUUCUUAUGACAGAUGUUUUUAGUUUUUAGGGGUGCAACUGCAUCUAGGGUAUUGCGCAAGGUUAAAUUGAGUUCCUCGGUUAGGUGGUUAACUGAUUUUUGUCCUCUGACGUCCUUGGGUAGGCAGAGGCAGUCUGGAAGGGCAUCAAGGAAUCUUUGGGUUGUCUGAGAAUUUAUAGCACGACUUUUAAUGCUCCUUGGUUGGGGUCUGAGCAGAUUAUUUGUUGCGAUUGCAAACGUAAUAAAAUGGUGGUCCGAUAGUGCAGGAUUAUGAGGAAAAACAUUAAGAUCCACAACAUUUAUUCCAUGGGACAAAACUAGGUCCAGAGUAUGACUGUGGCAGUGAGUAGGUCCAGAGACAUGUUGGACAAAACCCACUGAGUCGAUGAUGGCUCCGAAAGCCUUUUGGAGUGGGUCUGUGGACUCAUUUAACACAGUAAAUUCAUCAGGCUUAAGCCAUGUUUCAGUCAGGCCAAUCACAUCAAGAUUAUGAUCAGUGAUUAGUUCAUUGACUAUAACUGCCUUUGAAGUGAGGGAUCUAACAUUAAGUAACCCAAUU